UGUGCCCAACAGUAUUGGCGAUCGGCAUGCUUACGAAAUGUGCCGGGUAGCAAUGCGUCUAAUGAUGGAUUUUCAAAAUAAGUUCCCUCAAACGACAAUGCAGCUGCGAAUUGGGAUUCACAGCGGAUCUUGUGUCGCGGCUGUGGCGGGCCUUCAGCGGCCUAGAUAUUGUCUUUUUGGUGACACCGUUAAUACGGCAGCGAGAAUGCAGAGCCAUGGUGAAGGCUCCAGGAUUCAUCUAAGCAGUACAACGGCCAUAAUGUUGAACGAGAAGCAUUCGGACACACGAUGCAUACCACGAGGC